ensembl:lncRNA
GAGAGAAAGAAAAAUCUCCUGCUUGGAAACCCCACCCGGAGGAGGGGGUGGUACUUUGCACAUGCUCAGAGGCCGUCUAGAAACAACUGUCGCCGCCCCGGAAAGCAACCUUUUUUUUCUCUCCCUCCCUCUCUCUCUUUUCCGUCCUAGGUGGACGGGGGGAAGGGGACUGGGCCCGAUCUUUGGGGGACGAAGAGGGCUGCGCUUUGCACAUGCUCGGGAGCCUUGUCGCCUUUGAAGCUUAAACCGCCGCCUCCUUUCCCCUUCGUCUUGGGGGGCAGGAGGUCGUCCUUCCUCGCAAGCUAAGACCGGGGGAGGGGGGCAGACGCUUUCUGCACAUGCUCAAAAGCCCUUUAAAAAAAUCCCCUUCUUUCUUUGCCUCUUUGGUCUGCCUGGUAUGUUUUCCUCUUUCUUUCUUCGAUAUGUAAGCGGUGGGGUAAGCUGGGCUUAAUUCCUAUGGAGAGGAAUUGCACUUUGCAUGUGCUCAGAGGCACCGUUGCUUUUUGAAAACUGCUUCAGGCCUAGCCUUUUCUCAGAUGGCACCUGAUAUAGACUCAGACUUUUUAAAAAGCUGUGUUUUAUAUCUGUCUAUUUAUAUAGAGAGACGGAUAACAAUGUGUUUCCUGUAUAUAUAAAAAUAAAAUAUUUUUAAAAUUGCCAUGUAGUUUUAUCUUCCUUUCAGUCCCUUUACAUAUACUUCACUCUCCCUGACCCACUCCUUCUGGCUUUCUCUCCCGACAGGAUCACUCAGUUUCCCUGGGCCUCAUCUCAGCUUGACCAUGGACUCUGGAGUAGAGAAAAAAUUUUCUGCUGAGGAGAAAAUAAAGGAGACCUCUGAGGGUGAUCUUAAAAAAGGGAGAGAGAAUGGCGAAGAUGGACUUGAUGAGACAAAGGGUGCUGAGGAGAGGGGGAGUGAAGAUCAUAAAGAAGAGAAAGGAGCAACCGGCAAUCAUUUAGUGGUAAGAAUUUCACUCCCAUUUUCAGGUGCUGUCUGCACCACAGACACGUGUCUCUAAAUUAGAGGAUCACCUUUAGUAGUAAAAUGCUGUAGAACAGGUGGAGAAGAACCUGCAUCUGUCCAGAUGCUGUUGUACUCCAGUUCCCAUCAGCCCCAGUGAGCUUGGUCAGCACUGAGGGAGGAGGGGGGGAGGAGCACCCGGAUCUGGAGGUGUACGGAUUCUUCACUCUUUCUGAAAAAAAAAGAGGGAAGGAAGGAAGGAAGGAAGGAAGGAAAGGAAAGGAAAGGAAAGGAAAGGAAAGGAAAGGAAAGGAAAGGAAGGAAGGNNNNNNNNNNNNNNNNNNNNNNNNNNNNNNNNNNNNNNNNNNNNNNGGAAGGAAAUGAGCUGGGCAAAACUUGUCCAUUCAUACGUUGCUGGACUCUAGUUCCCAUAAACCACACCCAACUUCAGAAGAAUGAUAGGGACUGUAGUUCACACGAAUGCUGGUGUGAAAUAGCCUUUCCAACCUUGUGUCUUUUUGGACUUCAUUUCCAAUUAACUUUCAUCACUGGCCGUACUAACUGUGGCUGAUGGGGACUGGACUCCAAAAUAUUAGAGGGGGUCGGAUACCAAGUUGGAGAAGUUUGCUUUAGGAAAGAAUGAAUGCUUUGGCAGACAUUUUGUCACCCUAGACCAGGUAUCUUAUCAGUUAGCACGGUGGUGCCCAAUCUUGGGUGACCUAAAUGUUCUUGGACUGGAACUCCCAAAAUUCCCAGCCAUCGCAGCUGAUGGAGAAGGCUUCUGGGAAUUGCAGUCCAAGAACACCUGCUGUGACCCAUAGUUGAGAACAAUUGGAUUACCAGAAAGCUUAUGGACUACAAAGGGGAGCUGCAACAAAAUGUGGUAGUAAACUGUGCUUUGUCUAGUUGCUCUGUUCCUUUUUUCUGCCCCUAACAGCAGGAAAUCAUUCCAUCAACACUCAGCACACUUAGUAUUCACUGGUAUCUAUUUCAAUACCCCCUUGCUUACAAUUUUACUGGUUUGUACAAAUUAAACAUCAGAAACGAAGAGGCAGCAGACAGAAUCCUGCUGGCAGUGUAUUCCUGCAUAAUUUGCAUAAGUCUUGGCAGCAAAUGGCUGCUUCUCAAUCAGGCACUACUAGUUGCCUUCCUGGACAUGCACCCAGUCAGGCGAUCAGGGCACCCCCAGGAAUGCAACUCGUACCUCAAUAAACAAAUCGCAAUUUUGCA